rnacentral:rRNA from 1 species
UACUAAGCGUACGACAAGUAGGGCGGGACACGUGACAUCCUGUCUGAAUAUGGGGGGACCAUCCUCCAAGGCUAAAUACUCGUAAUCGACCGAUAGUGAACCAGUACCGUGAGGGAAAGGCGAAAAGAACCCCGGAAGGGGAGUGAAAUAGAUCCUGAAACCGUGUGCAUACAAACAGUAGGAGCGGACUUGUUCCGUGACUGCGUACCUUUUGUAUAAUGGGUCAGCGACUUACAUUCAGUGGCAAGGUUAACCAGAUAGGGAAGCCGUAGAGAAAUCGAGUCCGAAUAGGGCGAUCAGUCGCUGGGUGUAGACCCGAAACCAAGUGAUCUACUCAUGGCCAGGAUGAAGGUGCGGUAACACGCCCUGGAGGUCCGAACCCACUAAUGUUGAAAAAUUAGGGGAUGAGCUGUGGGUAGGGGUGAAAGGCUAAACAAACUUGGAAAUAGCUGGUUCUCUCCGAAAACUAUUUAGGUAGUGCCUCAAGUAUCACCAUCGGGGGUAGAGCACUGUUAUGGCUAGGGGGUCAUUGCGACUUACCAAACCAUUGCAAACUCCGAAUACCGAUGAGUGCGAGCUUGGGAGACAGACGUCGGGUGCUAACGUCCGGCGUCAAGAGGGAAACAACCCAGACCGCCAGCUAAGGUCCCAAAGAUUGGCUAAGUGGAAAACGAAGUGGGAAGGCUAAAACAGUCAGGAUGUUGGCUUAGAAGCAGCCAUCAUUUAAAGAAAGCGUAAUAGCUCACUGAUCGAGUCGUCCUGCGCGGAAGAUGUAACGGGGCUAAGCCAGUCACCGAAGCUGCGGAUAU